rnacentral:rRNA from 1 species
UACGUAGGGGGCGAGCGUUGUCCGGAUUUAUUGGGCGUAAAACGCUUGUAGGUGGCUACGUCAAGUCGGACGUGAAAUCUCCCGGCUUAACUGGGAGGGGUCGCUCGAUACUGGCGAGCUCGAGGCAGGUAGGGGGAAGCGGAAUUCCCGGUGUAGUGGUGAAAUGCGUAGAUAUCUGGAGGAACACCGGUGGCGAAGGCGGCAUCCUGGACCGGUAUUGACGCUGAGGCGCGAAAGCCAGGGGAGCAAACGGG